rnacentral:rRNA from 1 species
UGAGGAAUUUUUCACAAUGGACGAAAGUCUGAUGGAGCAAUACCACGUGAACGAUGAAGGUCUUCUGAUUGUAAAGUUCUUUUAUUUAGGAAAAAAAGCGUGCUAGGAAAUGAGUGCGCCUUGAUGGUACUAAUUGAAUAAGUGACAGCUAACUAUGUGCCAGCAGCUGCGGUAAAACAUAGGUCACGAGCAUUAUCCGGAUUUAUUGGGCGUAAAGGAAGCGUAGGCGGGGAGGUUGAUCCAUUGUUAAAAGCAUUUGCUUAACAAAUGUGUGCAUUGGAGAUCGCCUCCCUAGAGUUAAUCAGGGGGUACUGGAAUUCAAUGUGUAGCGGUGGAAUGCGUAGAUAUAUUGAGGAACACCAGAGGCUAAGGCGAGUGCCUAGGAUAUAACUGACGCUGAGCUUAGAAAGCGUGGGGAGCAAAUGGGAUUAGAUACCCCAGUAGUCCACGCCGU